GGACUACUAGGGUAUCUAAUCCCGUUCGCUCCCCUGGCUUUCGCGCAUCAGCGUCAGAAGAGGUCCAGCACGCCGCUUUCGCCACCGGCGUUCCUUCCGAUAUCAACGCAUUUCACCGCUCCACCGGAAGUUCCGCAUGCCCCUACCUCCCUCCAGACAGCCAGUAUCCAAGGCCCUUUUCCGGUUGAGCCGAAAGAUUUCACCCCGGACUUGACUGCCCGCCUACGCGCCCUUUAAGCCCAGUGAUUCCGAACAACGUUCGCACGGUUCGUCUUACCGCGGCUGCUGGCAC
rnacentral:rRNA from 3 species